GACGAACGCUGGCGGCGCGCUUAACACAUGCAAGUCGAACGGAAAGGCCUGCUUUCCCUUGUGGAUUGCGGGUACUCGAGUGGCGAACGGGUGAGUAACACGUGAGUGAUCUGCCCCCAACUUGGGUAUAAGCCUGGGAAACUGGGUCUAAUUCCCGAUAGGACUGCAGGGUGGUGCCUGUUGUGGAAAACGAUUUUCUAGUGGUUGGGGAUGAGCUGGCGGCCUAUCAGCUUGGUGGUGGGGUAAUGGCCUACCAAGGCGGCGACGGGUAGCCGGCCUGGGAGGGUGGACGGAGAGAGUGGGACGGAGAAACGGCACAGACUCAUGCGGGAGGCAGCAGUGGGGAAUAGUGCACAAGGGGAGGGAGCAUGAGGCAGCGACGCGGCGUGGGGGAUGACGGGGUUGGGGUGGUAAACUCCUGUCGACAGCGAGGAAGCCACGGGGUUGGACGGGUGGUGACGGUAGUGGUAGAAGAAGCACCGGCUAACUACGUG
rnacentral:rRNA from 1 species